rnacentral:rRNA from 1 species
UACGAAGGGGGCUAGCGUUGCUCGGAAUUACUGGGCGUAAAGCGCACGUAGGCGGUCUUUUAAGUCGGGGGUGAAAUCCUGGAGCUCAACUCCAGAACUGCCUUCGAUACUGGAAGACUUGAGUCCGGGAGAGGAGAGUGGAACUGCGAGUGUAGAGGUGAAAUUCGUAGAUAUUCGCAAGAACACCAGUGGCGAAGGCGGUUCUCUGGCACGGUACUGACGCUGAGGUGCGAAAGCGUGGGGAGCAAACAGG